GUCCACGCCCUAAACGAUGUCAACUGGUUGUUGGGAAUUCACUUUCUCAGUAACGAAGCUAACGCGUGAAGUUGACCGCCUGGGGAGUACGGCCGCAAGGUUGAAACUCAAAGGAAUUGACGGGACCCGCACAAGCGGUGGAUGAUGUGGUUUAAUUCGAUGCAACGCGAAAACCUUACCCACCUUUGACAUGUACGGAAUCCUUUAGAGAUAGAGGAGUGCUCGAAAGAGAACCGUAACACAGGUGCUGCAUGGCUGUCGU
rnacentral:rRNA from 1 species